AUUGAACGCUGGCGGCAGGCCUAACACAUGCAAGUCGAGCGGAUGAAGGGAGCUUGCUCCUGGAUUCAGCGGCGGACGGGUGAGUAAUGCCUAGGAAUCUGCCUGGUAGUGGGGGAUAACGUCCGGAAACGGGCGCUAAUACCGCAUACGUCCUGAGGGAGAAAGUGGGGGAUCUUCGGACCUCACGCUAUCAGAUGAGCCUAGGUCGGAUUAGCUAGUUGGUGGGGUAAAGGCCUACCAAGGCGACGAUCCGUAACUGGUCUGAGAGGAUGAUCAGUCACACGGGAACUGAGACACGGUCCAGACUCCUACGGGAGGCAGCAGUGGGGAAUAUUGGACAAUGGGCGAAAGCCUGAUCCAGCCAUGCCGCGUGUGUGAAGAAGGUCUUCGGAUUGUAAAGCACUUUAAGUUGGGAGGAAGGGCAGUAAGUUAAUACCUUGAUGUUUUGACGUUACCAACAGAAUAAGCACCGGCUAACUUCGUG
rnacentral:rRNA from 1 species